UUAAGCGACUAAGCGUACACGGUGGAUGCCCUGGCAGUCAGAGGCGAUGAAGGACGUGCUAAUCUGCGAAAAGCGUCGGUAAGGUGAUAUGAACCGUUAUAACCGGCGAUGUCCGAAUGGGGAAACCCAGUGCAAUUCGUUGCACUAUCGUUAACUGAAUACAUAGGUUAACGAGGCGAACCGGGGGAACUGAAACAUCUAAGUACCCCGAGGAAAAGAAAUCAACCGAGAUUCCCCCAGUAGCGGCGAGCGAACGGGGAGCAGCCCAGAGUCUGAAUCAGCUUGUGUGUUAGUGGAACGGUCUGGAAAGUCCGACGGUACAGGGUGAUAGUCCCGUACACCAAAAUGCACAGGUUGUGAACUCGAAGAGUAGGGCGGGACACGUGGUAUCCUGUCUGAAUAUGGGGGGACCAUCCUCCAAGGCUAAAUACUCCUGACUGACCGAUAGUGAACCAGUACCGUGAGGGAAAGGCGAAAAGAACCCCGGCGAGGGGAGUGAAAAAGAACCUGAAACCGUGUACGUACAAGCAGUGGGAGCACCUUCGGGUGUGACUGCGUACCUUUUGUAUAAUGGGUCAGCGACUUAUAUUCUGUAGCAAGGUUAACCGUAUAGGGGAGCCGCAGGGAAACCGAGUCUUAACUGGGCGUUAAGUUGCAGGGUAUAGACCCGAAACCCGGUGAUCUAGCCAUGGGCAGGUUGAAGGUUGGGUAACACUAACUGGAGGACCGAACCGACUAAUGUUGAAAAAUUAGCGGAUGACUUGUGGCUGGGGGUGAAAGGCCAAUCAAACCGGGAGAUAGCUGGUUCUCCCCGAAAGCUAUUUAGGUAGCGCCUCGUGAACUCAUCUUCGGGGGUAGAGCACUGUUUCGGCUAGGGGGUCAUCCCGACUUACCAACCCGAUGCAAACUACGAAUACCGAAGAAUGUUAUCACGGGAGACACACGGCGGGUGCUAACGUCCGUCGUGAAGAGGGAAACAACCCAGACCGCCAGCUAAGGUCCCAAAGUCAUGGUUAAGUGGGAAACGAUGUGGGAAGGCACAGACAGCCAGGAUGUUGGCUUAGAAGCAGCCAUCAUUUAAAGAAAGCGUAAUAGCUCACUGGUCGAGUCGGCCUGCGCGGAAGAUGUAACGGGGCUAAACCAUGCACCGAAGCUGCGGCAGCGACACUAUGUGUUGUUGGGUAGGGGAGCGUUCUGUAAGCCUGCGAAGGUGUGCUGUGAGGCAUGCUGGAGGUAUCAGAAGUGCGAAUGCUGACAUAAGUAACGAUAAAGCGGGUGAAAAGCCCGCUCGCCGGAAGACCAAGGGUUCCUGUCCAACGUUAAUCGGGGCAGGGUGAGUCGACCCCUAAGGCGAGGCCGAAAGGCGUAGUCGAUGGGAAACAGGUUAAUAUUCCUGUACUUGGUGUUACUGCGAAGGGGGGACGGAGAAGGCUAUGUUAGCCGGGCGACGGUUGUCCCGGUUUAAGCAUGUAGGCUGAUUGUCCAGGCAAAUCCGGAUAAUCAAGGCUGAGGUGUGAUGACGAGGCACUACGGUGCUGAAGUAACAAAUGCCCUGCUUCCAGGAAAAGCCUCUAAGCAUCAGGUAACAUCAAAUCGUACCCCAAACCGACACAGGUGGUCAGGUAGAGAAUACCAAGGCGCUUGAGAGAACUCGGGUGAAGGAACUAGGCAAAAUGGUGCCGUAACUUCGGGAGAAGGCACGCUGGUGUGUAGGUGAAGUCCCUGCGGAUGGAGCUGAGACCAGUCGAAGAUACCAGCUGGCUGCAACUGUUUAUUAAAAACACAGCACUGUGCAAACACGAAAGUGGACGUAUACGGUGUGACGCCUGCCCGGUGCCGGAAGGUUAAUUGAUGGGGUUAUCCGUAAGGAGAAGCUCUUGAUCGAAGCCCCGGUAAACGGCGGCCGUAACUAUAACGGUCCUAAGGUAGCGAAAUUCCUUGUCGGGUAAGUUCCGACCUGCACGAAUGGCGUAAUGAUGGCCAGGCUGUCUCCACCCGAGACUCAGUGAAAUUGAACUCGCUGUGAAGAUGCAGUGUACCCGCGGCAAGACGGAAAGACCCCGUGAACCUUUACUAUAGCUUGACACUGAACAUUGAGCCUUGAUGUGUAGGAUAGGUGGGAGGCUUUGAAGCGUGGACGCCAGUCUGCGUGGAGCCAACCUUGAAAUACCACCCUUUAAUGUUUGAUGUUCUAACGUUGGCCCCUGACCGGGGUUGCGGACAGUGUCUGGUGGGUAGUUUGACUGGGGCGGUCUCCUCCCAAAGCGUAACGGAGGAGCACGAAGGUUAGCUAAUCCUGGUCGGACAUCAGGAGGUUAGUGCAAUGGCAUAAGCUAGCUUGACUGCGAGCGUGACGGCGCGAGCAGGUGCGAAAGCAGGUCAUAGUGAUCCGGUGGUUCUGAAUGGAAGGGCCAUCGCUCAACGGAUAAAAGGUACUCCGGGGAUAACAGGCUGAUACCGCCCAAGAGUUCAUAUCGACGGCGGUGUUUGGCACCUCGAUGUCGGCUCAUCACAUCCUGGGGCUGAAGUAGGUCCCAAGGGUAUGGCUGUUCGCCAUUUAAAGUGGUACGCGAGCUGGGUUUAGAACGUCGUGAGACAGUUCGGUCCCUAUCUGCCGUGGGCGCUGGAGAAUUGAGGGGGGCUGCUCCUAGUACGAGAGGACCGGAGUGGACGCAUCACUGGUGUUCGGGUUGUCAUGCCAAUGGCACUGCCCGGUAGCUAAAUGCGGAAGAGAUAAGUGCUGAAAGCAUCUAAGCACGAAACUUGCCCCGAGAUGAGUUCUCCCUGAGACUUUAAGUCUCCUGAAGGAACGUUGAAGACGACGACGUUGAUAGGCCGGGUGUGUAAGCGCAGCGAUGCGUUGAGCUAACCGGUACUAAUGAACCGUGAGGCUUAACCUU
rnacentral:rRNA from 1 species